rnacentral:tRNA from 1 species
GCCGGAGUGGCGGAACUGGUAGACGCGCACGACUCAAAAUCGUGUGGGCUAUGCUCAUGAGAGUUCGAGUCUCUCCUCCGGUACCA